rnacentral:rRNA from 1 species
AUUGAACGCUGGCGGCAUGCCUAACACAUGCAAGUCGAGCGGAUGAAGGGAGCUUGCUCCUGGAUUCAGCGGCGGACGGGUGAGUAAUGCCUAGGAAUCUGCCUGGGAGUGGGGGAUAACGUCCGGAAACGGGCGCUAAUACCGCAUACGUCCUGAGGGAGAAAGUGGGGGAUCUUCGGACCUCACGCUAUCAGAUGAGCCUAGGUCGGAUUAGCUAGUUGGUGGGGUAAAGGCCUACCAAGGCGACGAUCCGUAACUGGUCUGAGAGGAUGAUCAGUCACACUGGAACUGAGACACGGUCCAGACUCCUACGGGAGGCAGCAGUGGGGAAUAUUGGACAAAGGGCGAAAGCCUGAUCCAGCCAUGCCGCGUGUGUGAAGAAGGUCUUCGGAUUGUAAAGCCCUUUAAGUUGGGAGGAAGGGCAGUAAGUUAAUACCUUGCUGUUUUGACGGUACCAACAGAAUAAGCACCGGCUAACUUCGUG